rnacentral:rRNA from 1 species
CCUACGGGUGGCAGCAGUAGGGAAUAUUGCUCAAUGGGGGAAACCCUGAACCAGCAAAGCCGCGUGGAGGAUGAAGGUUUUCUGAUUGUUAACUCCUUUUGUUAGAGGAGUUAAUGACGGUAUCUAACGAAUAAGCAACGUCUAACUCCGUGCCAGCAGCCGCGGUAAUACGGAGGGUGCAAGCGUUACUCGGAAUCAGUGGGCGUAAAGAGCGCGUAGGGGGGAUAGCAAGUCAGAUGUGAAAUUCUAUGGCUUAACCAUAGAACUGCCUUUGAAACUGUUAUUCUAGAGUAUGGGAGAGGUAGGUGGAAUGCUUGGUGUAGGGGUAAAAUCCGUAGAGAUCAAGAGGAAUACUCAUUGCGAAGGCGACCUACUAGAACAUAACUGACGCUGAUGCGCGAAAGCGUGGGGAGCAAACAGGAUUAGAUACCCGAGUAGUC